rnacentral:rRNA from 1 species
GAUGAACGCUGGCGGCGUGCCUAAUACAUGCAAGUCGAGCGACCGGACGAGAAGCUUGCUUCCUUGCUGUUAGCGGCGGACGGGCGAGUAACACGUGGAUAACCUACUUCUAAGACUGGGAUAACUUCGGGAAACCGUAGCUAAUACUGGAUCAUAUUUUGAACCGCAUGGUUCAAAAGUGCAUGACGGUCUUGCUGUCACUUAUAGAUGGUUCCGCGCUGCAUUAGCUAGUUGGUAAGGUAACGGCUUACCAAGGCAACGAUGCAUAGCCGACCUGAGAGGGUGAUCGGCCACACUGGAACUGAGACACGGUCCAGACUCCUACGGGAGGCAGCAGUAGGGAAUCUUCCGCAAUGGGCGAAAGCCUGACGGAGCAACGCCGCGUGAGUGAUGAAGGUCUUCGGAUCGUAAAACUCUGUUAUUAGGGAAGAACAUAUGUGUAAGUAACUGUGCACAUCUUGACGGUACCUAAUCAGAAAGCCACGGCUAACUACGUG